GACGAACGCUGGCGGCGUGCUUAACACAUGCAAGUCGAGCGGAGCGGCGAACGGGAGAGUAACGCGUGAGUAACUGCCCCCCUCUUUGGGAUAACAGUUGGGAACGGCUGCUAAUACCGGAUAGUGGGGGAUGACUCGUGUCCUCUCAGCUUGUUGGUGGGGUAGUGGCCUACCAAGGGGACGAGGGGUAGCCGGCCUGAGAGGGCGACCGGCCACAAGGGGCUGGGAUACGGCGCAAACGCCAAGGGGAGGCAGGAGUGGGGAAUAUUGCACAAUAGGGGAACCCCUGAUAAAGCAACGCGGGUGCGGGAGGACGGGCUUUGGGUUGUAAACCGCGUUCAGCCAUGACGCGGUAGUGGCAGAAGAAGCACCGGCUAACUACGUGCCAGCAGCCGCGGUAAUAC
rnacentral:rRNA from 1 species